rnacentral:rRNA from 1 species
GACGAACGCUGGCGGCGUGCUUAACACAUGCAAGUCGAACGGAAAGGCCCUGCUUGGGUGGGGUGCUCGAGUGGCGAACGGGUGAGUAACACGUGAGUAACCUGCCCUUGACUUUGGGAUAACGUCAGGAAACUGGGGCUAAUACCGGAUAGGAGCUCCGGCUGCAUGGUGGGGGUUGGAAAGUUUCGGCGGUUGGGGAUGUACUCGCGGCUUAUCAGCUUGUUGGUGGGGUAGUGGCUUACCAAGGCUUUGACGGGUAGCCGGCCUGAGAGGGUGACCGGCCACAUUGGGACUGAGAUACGGCCCAGACUCCUACGGGAGGCAGCAGUGGGGAAUAUUGCACAAUGGGCGGAAGCCUGAUGCAGCAACGCCGCGUGCGGGAUGACGGCCUUCGGGUUGUAAACCGCUUUCGCCUGUGACGAAGCGUGAGUGACGGUAAUGGGUAAAGAAGCACCGGCUAACUACGUG